AGGUAACUAACUCAAUUGGUAGAGUAUCUCGCUUACAACGAGAAGGUUAGUGGUUCAAGUCUGCUGUUACCUA
rnacentral:tRNA from 1 species